AUACAGAAGUAUUUACCCAAAAAUAUUGUUUUUUGUUAUUUUUGAAAAAUGAAUAUAUGCUCAAGGAUAUAAUCAAAACAGACUGAAAGGAUUAUAAACAGAAUUUGUACAGCUUGUGUUUUACUUUAUAUAAAGUGACACUAACAAGAAAAUAUGAGCUUUUAACAUGUAUGAAUGCGGGACGAAAAAUAUUCAGAAGAAUGAUGAGGUCACUACAAGCUCUACCCCCUCCAGAUCUGCUGCUGUAUAAAGGACCUAUCACUGAAAAUCGGCGUUCAUUCCUCAAACAGCUUCACAACAAGAUGGAGCUUCAUACACUUGAAGCAAUUGUUGCUCUUGGUGCAAAGUAAAACCCUUGUCCCACAUAUGUGUACAGCUCUUUUGUUCUCCAGACAGCUUCAGUUAAACUGGGAAUCCCUCGGGACCUCAACACACACUUUGCUCUCUUUGUUGUUUUGCCACAGAAAAUUGGUGUUUGCCAUUUCUAAUUCUGUCCAAUCAAUCAAAUUGACUACAGAUGGAUUUCAAACAAGGUGUGAAAACACCUCAAGAAUGAUCAACAGAAUGGGUUUACCUAAGCAGGAUUUCAACUGUCGUAGCAAAGGGAAUGAGUAGUUGUGUCAAUGUGAUAUUUCAGUUUUUUAUU